rnacentral:rRNA from 1 species
UACGAAGGGGGCCAGCGUUGCUCGGAAUCACUGGGCGUAAAGCGCACGUAGGCGGAUUGCUAAGUCAGGGGUGAAAUCCUGGAGCUCAACUCCAGAACUGCCCUUGAUACUGAGGAUCUUGAGUUCGGGAGAGGUGAGUGGAACUGCGAGUGUAGAGGUGAAAUUCGUAGAUAUUCGCAAGAACACCAGUGGCGAAGGCGGCUCACUGGCCCGAUACUGACGCUGAGGCACGAAAGCGUGGGGAGCAAACAGG